UACGUAGGGUGCAAGCGUUGUCCGGAAUUAUUGGGCGUAAAGGGCUCGUAGGCGGUCUGUCGCGUCGGGAGUGAAAACUCAGGGCUUAACCCUGAGCCUGCUUCCGAUACGGGCAGACUAGAGGUAUGCAGGGGAGAACGGAAUUCCUGGUGUAGCGGUGGAAUGCGCAGAUAUCAGGAGGAACACCAAUAGCGAAGGCAGCUCGCUGGGACGGUACUGACGCUGAGGCGCGAAAGCGUGGGGGAGCGAACAGG
rnacentral:rRNA from 1 species